UGGGGAAUAUUGGACAAUGGGGGCAACCCUGAUCCAGCAAUGCCGCGUGUGCGAAGAAGGCCUGCGGGUUGUAAAGCACUUUGAGUGGGGAAGAAAGGGGUAGUUCGAAUAGGGCUAUGAGAUGACGUUACCCACAGAACAAGCACCGGCUAACUCUGUGCCAGCAGCCGCGGUAAUACAGAGGGUGCAAGCGUUAAUCGGAAUUACUGGGCGUAAAGGGUGCGUAGGCGGUUUAUUAAGUUAGAUGUGAAAUCCCCGGGCUUAACCUGGGGUCGGCAUAUAAUACUGAUGAGCUAGAGUAGAAGAGAGGGGAGUGGAAUUUCCGAAGUAGCGGUGAAAUGCGUAGAGAUCGGAAAGAACACCAGUGGCGAAGGCGGCUCCCUGGCUUCAUACUGACGCU
rnacentral:rRNA from 1 species